CACACUUAGACACAAGGUUAAAAUGUCACAGGACCUAACUUAACUUGUUGAUCACAUCAAAAUAACCUUGGAGUUCCAACACUUGAUUCCUUGUGUACUUGAAAAAAAAAAGUUGUGGACUGGACCAAGAACAUUCAGGAGUUAGAAUCCUUUUGGAGCAGAGGAAUGAGAACCUAUGUAUGGAGAUCUCUGAUUAUAGCCAGUCUAAAGGGAGGUUCAUGCUAUUACAGUACCAAACAGUUUUGUAUUCCAUACAAGAAACUACAUAAUUUAGUCCAAACUCUCUCUGAACUGAACUUCUAAACCUGAGUGUAUGAAGAAAAAAAAAACAACCUCUAAAUGGUAUAGGUGUUGCUAUACAACUGAUUCUUGGAAUUUUUGAAAAUGUGAAGUACUAGAACUCUGAUAUUUCUUUGAAUAUAAUUGUUGGCUUGAAUCUCUGGUGCUAAAACGAUUAGAAACAAUAUGCUCUUGAUGUAUAUGGCACACAGAAGGAAGGUUAUUUACAUAAUAGUGUAGGGAUUAUCUGGAAAUAAAGAAGACUGGUGGAAGCUGGUUUAAAGGUAGAAACUGGGAAAUGCAGGAAUGAAAUAGUUAUUUCAGAACUUCAAGCUAUUUCAGAGUUUGGAAGUGUGGCAGUGAAGUCUUGUUACACUGAUAAUUUUGAUUAGUACACUCAGGAAAAAAAACAAAGGGACUAUAGCUUAAGGUUGCAGAAUUUGAAUGAGAAAUAAUUGGAGAAUGAUACAACUGGAGUUUGAAAUUGAAUUCUAAAAUGCUGAAAUUGUAUCUUGUUUAGUGCCAAUUCUAAGAUUAAUUGGGGAGAUCAAGGUUCGAAGAAAUCUAGGUCGUCCAUUCGAGAUCAGGGGAGAUCUAUGUCAUCCAUCAAACAUAUGUUCCAUCCAAGUCAAAAAGAUGAUAGAUCAGGACCAUAGAUCAAGAUCUAAAGCCUUUGAACUAGAUCCGAACCGAUCCUACCGUUGAUCAAGAUCUUGAAAAAUCGGAGCAGUUGAUUUAGAUAUCAGAUUUGAUUUAAAUGAGAAGCUACAGCGUCUUUUUGGUUCGUCAAUUCUCUCGCGUCAAAACAGAGGAGGUGAUUGCGCUUUCUUCCUCUGGCGAUCUCAAUCCAUUUCCACCGCCAGUGAGCAAGCGAGGUCAAGGGUGACCCUUCCUCCAUCUAAAAUCUACCCAUCAGCAACCGGCGACGCCACUACAACCUUUUGAUUCAUCACUGAUCGCCUACUUUGCCGUGAUUUCGGGCGAGGAAGAAGAAGCGGAUAAGGAGUGUUUGCUCUACCUUCCCCCCAUAUGACUGUCUACUCCAUUGACGCCAACCGCAAGCCAUCCUUCUUCUUCCUUGAUCAGUUUCGAGACGAGAGGAAGAAGGCCGGAGUUACGAAGGGGAUAGGGUUUGCCAAUUCCUUCGGAAUUCUGUCUUCGUCAUGCCAUCCAUCUUCAGCAGAUCACUCAUCGACGCCGAUCUUCUGCCUCUCUACAUAUCUAAUCCGGAACCUCUUCAUGUGUUGGUUUGUUCUUCAUCUGUGUGUGGAUUGUUCUACAACAUUGCUAAUUGUUUCUCUUUGGUUGAUGAUUGAUUGUUUACUUGAGUUGUUGGAUUGAUUGUAAUUGGAUUCAAGUUUCCAAUGGUUAGGAUUUCAUUUACUCAGUUUUGAAUUGAAUCAUGUAUGCAAUGUGUUUUCUGAAAUGGUUCUUAGAAUUUAGUUAGUAAUUCUAUUAGUUAGUUGAAUGCAAUGCUUGUUAGUUUAGUGGUCUAUGUUUCCAUAUGCUUGGUUCUCCAUUUGGAUGUCAUUAGGUUGGAUUAGAUUUCUUUAGUGCUCUAGGUUUCAUUCCAUGCUUAGUUUUGCUAAUGCCUUAUUUCAUGUUGUCUUUUAUUUUCUGCAAUUGUAGUUAGGUUGGACUUAGCUCUCAUUACCUGUUUGCUAUUUCGUAUUAUAGUUUUAGAACCAAAAUCCAAACUCCUCAUUUUCAUAUCAAAAACCUAAAAAACAAUAACAAAUCAAUCCUAAGAUACCAUUAUUGCUAUAUUCGUUGGGAGACGACUCGAGUCAUCUUUAUACUACAUUAGUGUAGAAUGAAUUCGGUCACUUAAUUCUUUUAAUACUCAUUUCAUGAUAAAAUUAGGGUUUAUCAAACAUUCAGUCCAAGACAGAUUCACUAUGAAUAAGUGAGUUCAUCAUCACUACCUCAAGGGAUCUAACUUUUGGCAAUGGAGGUAAGGGCCUCGGACUCUCCUUUGAUUAAGCGACUUGUGGAAAUUAAAGAUAAGGUGGUUCAGAGGCUACACAGAUAGGGAGCAGUGAACAUGACACUACUGACUGGUUCGCAGGCAAGAAAAAUAGGAUCGCAAAUGCUUAUGAGUUUUUCAGGCCACGGGGGCCUACGGUAUUUUAGGCAUCAAUGGUAUGGAAAUUGGGGACUAUGCCUAAACAUCUUUUUUGUGUUUGUCUCCUUGCACAGGGGAAGUUAUGGACGGCGAACAUAUUGUCAUAUAAGGUGUACAAAUGUUGUGUGCUUUGUGCAGAUAGCGCAGGACGAAUCUAAUGCACAUAUUUAUUUUGAAUGCUCCAUCACCCAAAUUCUAUGGAGCAAGA